GAGAUCGGGAGGCGAUCAAAAGGAGGAAGAGGAGAUCCAUGGUUGGGGAUACAUUCAACGACCUAGGCAUCAUCCUCCCUGACGUCGUACUCGAAGCCUGCAGCCAUUGCCUUCUCAAUCUAUGUUAGUCAGCAGCAGCAAGCAGAGAAUUAACAACAGUAGACCAAAGCAAAGGGGGGUCAGCCUGAAUGGGACGUAUCCCCUUCCAGAGGACUCGCCCUAGCUAACCUGCAUGGUACCUUUCAAUAGCACUUCUCCCAGGGAUAGGGUAGCGUACACGAACAGCAAAAUUGUAGAAGACGAGGAGGACAAUCUGAGUGACCAACAUUAUGUGGAGUAUUGAGAUGCAGAUCCAUCUUCACUGACAGCACGCGCUUGUCUGUGACCUCCCACCAGCAACGCCUUGAGGUCACCCACACAAGCGACCAAGCAAUUCCACGCUGUCACCCUCUGCUACUUCGCCAACGACAUCGAGGAGGUCGUGGGUGAGAGCUACUGUCCUCCCUGGAGAACAUGCUCGUGCCCCAUGCGUACGAAGAAGAGCUAAGACACUCGCAUGGGUGCUCAAGGAAAUACACCAGAUUGAGCGAGCUUUAAUGUGACAGAGGAUCAUGGUGGUCGAUGGAUUGUGCACCCGGUAGUAGACUAGGAAAGGAACAUUAUUUACGGAACACAAUGAUAUUCAGAGCAGCCCUGCACUAUGUGAGAUUUAGAAGUUGGUACUGCCGGCGGAUGCAUCCAUGUGCUAAUCUCCUGGCACCACGUAGACGGAGCCAAACGAGUUGGGGCCUCCGGCCGGCUGGUAGUGGACAACAACACCGGGUUUGUUAAUUAAUCAACAAGUCACAGAUUGUCCUC